GACGAACGCUGGCGGCGUGCCUAACACAUGCAAGUCGCACGGGACCCGCAAGGGUUCAGUGGCGGACGGGUGCGUAACACGUGAGGAACAUGCCCAUCGGCGGGGGAUAGCCGGCCCAACGGCCGGGUAAUACCGCGUACGCUCAUUCGGGGGCAUCCCCGGAUGAGGAAAGCAGCAAUGCACCGAUGGAGUGCCUCGCGGCCUAUCAGCUAGUUGGUGGGGUCAUGGCCCACCAAGGCGACGACGGGUAGCUGGUCUGAGAGGAUGAUCAGCCACAUUGGGACUGAGACACGGCCCAGACUCCUACGGGAGGCAGCAGUGGGGAAUCUUGCGCAAUGGCCGAAAGGCUGACGCAGCGACGCCGCGUGUGGGAUGACGGCCUGGUGUAACACUGUCGGAGGACGAAGUAGCCCGC
rnacentral:rRNA from 1 species